CUGAAGCAGGCUCCAGGCUCCGAGCUGUCAACACAGAGCCCGACGCAGGGCUCAAAGUCACAAACUGUGAGAACAUGACCUGAGCUGAAUUCAGGCGCUUAACCGACAGAGCCACGCAGGUGCCCCUGCCUUCUUUCUUCUUGACCCUCAUGGUGUCCUCCACAUGGCCAGCUCUCUGCCUGCCUUUGUCGUUUUGUGUUUUGUGUGCCUCUUUGGCUCCUUCCUACCCAUUCCUUCCAAACUCCACUCAGAGACCAGCCCUCUAGAUGCCUUGGCUCAUGCCCCUGAGCGGAGUUAGGUCCCCUGUUGCAUACAGCCCUUUGCACGUCUCCACAGUUACUGCCGUGUUGUAUCCUCCUCUUACCUGACUGUCAGCUUCUUGAGGGAGGACUCCUACCUUUGUGCUUCCGGUGUGUGCAGGUGCUCAGGUGUUGGAUAAAUGAGGAGGCAGCUGCAGAAACGGAAGCCUGCGAUUAAGUGCCUGGCAGCUCCAGAAUGUGAUCUGGGAGCGUCUCGGAUGGCAUUUGGUUUGCAGAAGUUGAGCCUUGAAACUGAAUUUGCUUAGCACUUAACAAGUGUAAGGAAAUUAUAGUUGUUGAAAUUAGAGAUGGGGAGAUCAGGCCACCCUGUGCAGGCGGGUCAGCACUGAGUGUGGUCGCCUCCCUCUACAACCCCAUGGAAGCAGUCACCAGUAUCCUCUGUGUCAGAUGAAGUAUCCAAGGUGUACAUGGGAACUCCUCCGUGAAGGUCACACACAGCUAGUUCGCGCAGGCUGGGACUGCAGCCUAGCUGGGUUUGUCUGACUCCAGGGCUACCGAGGUUUGUCAUCCUGGGCGGCAUUUAGGUGCUUGAGGUCACCCACCUUGUGCACAAAGACCAGCCUAGACCUAACGGAGGUGAGAGCGAGGCCGGAAUCCCAGCCUUACCUAAGACAGAAGGGUGCAAGGGAGCACAGCUGUUCCGUGUGGACCCCAACCGUUCCCACAGCUGUUCUGCAUUUGCUGUGACUGGGUGAAGAGAACUACACCUCCCAGGAAGCAGCGCGGCGCCCUGGCUGCCCCCUCCCUACGCCCCGCCCCGGGGAGGCUCAUAUAUAAGGGCGGAAUGGCCCGGCCUCCGGCAGAGCGCAGGGGCAGCGAGGGCGUGCGGCGCGGUCCUGGGCUUGGGGGAAAGCGGCCACCAGGGCUGGCCUCCGCGGCUCCGCGCCUCUCCCCCGGCCUCUCUUGCCCCGCGGCGUCCAGCCUGCGCCGCCAGGGCCCCGCGGACCUGCCAACCCGAGGCCAAGAGUGGAAUUGCCCUGCCGCUUUCCCGGGCUUGGCGGAGGGGAUCCCGGCGGGGAGCUCGGCGCUCGCGAUGGCGAUGCGCAGCGAGGAAAGGCGAGGAGCUGCGUGCGGGCUGGGUGCCCUCGGAGCGCCGGGAGGCGGGGAGCGCCCGCCGCCGGGCCGGGGGAUGCUGCCUCUUGGGAACCCCCGCGGCGAAGUCCCUCCAUCUCCGCGGGGCUCCAGCACAGAGGUCGGGGCUGCAGGCCCUUUGGCCUUGGAUGGAAAGUGGGAAAUGGGGCGCGAGGCUGCGGACCCCCUAACGUGGAUUACUUGGUGCGUGUCAGCCGGGCUCAGAAGACCCACGACCUCGUCUCCAUCCUCGGAUUGAUUCAUUCCACCUGGCAGUCGGGUCGCUUUACCUGGAGGUGAAACCAGAGGUUUGAGGCUGGCCUGUGUAGGUGCUCCGAACCAAGAAAGAAGGGCAAGACACAAAGGCCUGGAAAGGAGGGGCGGCUAAGGGCUGCUAUUCCUUGCCCACAUGUCCCGCCAGGAAGCCGGGCAGGGCUGGCAUGUGCCGCCAGGAUCCCCGGGAAGGACCCGGCUAAGAUGGGACCAUCUCCUAAGAGGCAAGAGCUCUGGAUCUGAUUAAGACUUCCUCUUCUGGAGAGUGAAGAACGUUCUAGAUUGGAGAGGACAUUGGAGGAGAAAGUAAAGACUCGUGCACUGAGGAGUAGUCUGUGUCUGGACCUGCGUGAGCCGGACGUGACCUGCAUAUAGCUGGCGAGACACCAUCGUCACAGACCUCGUCCUUCCUUCUUGUGGGAGACAUUCCCUGUACCGUCGCCUGAUCUUAAGACUCCGCCCCCCGCUCCGCGCCCCAAUCCCCGGGAACCACAGGGCUUUCUACCGCACCAUUUGUCUUGCCCCCCAGCUCCCCCGUCUGCUGUGCCUUUGGACGCAGUCAUUCUUGUUUGCUCCAUUAUCUUCCAGCCGGAUACAGAGUGAAUAGUUAACUACACUUAGGUCAAAUGGGAUUUUAAUUUUCGUUCCUGUUCCUUCUAAAGCGGCCGGUGUUUGCGUUGCUCUGUGAGCAACAUUGGAAUAGUACGUCCUCUCCCUUAUUUGGGAUCUGGCCCCCUGGGAUUCCAGAGCGAGGCAGGUGAGUGCUGAAGUUCUUCAGGGCUCUCCAGUGUCAGGGACACCGGAGGGGCUCCUGCAGGGGAGCUGGCUCAGGACGGCUGGCGUCCUCUGUGUCCAGCUUCUUUCGUUCGGAUCACACGCAGGUGUAUGUCUGGAAGAGUGAAAAAGACGAUUUGUUCAUCCCAGCUACCUUCUACCUUUUUUAAACUGUAUUUUUGACAUAUAACUGACAUACCGUUAUACUCGUUUCCCACCUGUCUUCUGUUGAGGCAGAUGCACCGCCUGCUAUGAAGACCCUCUCCCCCCCCCCCCCACCUCGCAGGUGGCAGUUGGGACCCAUGCCAGAACAUGGUGCUUCCUUACAGACAAUCUGGCUGCCAGAGCUGGUGUGUUUAUUGAGGAUCCUCGUCCCCCAGAAUGCCGAUGACACUCCUGACGGCAGGUUGGGCCCCGUGAAACACGAGUCAAAUAUUCUGUCACCACCGUGCGCAUGGCUG